ACUAUUGAAAGUACUGCAUUAUGAGCGGAAUAAGUGGUCAUCGGGCUUCAGUUGUAAUUUUUAAAUCGAAAAGGUGGAACUGCAAUUUUUUCAGAAUACCAAUUACUGAUGGGAAUGAUUGAUUUCUGAAAGAAAUAUCAGAAUUUAUUCGUACCGCAUGUCGACUUGCAAUUCGCAAUGAUGAAUAAUUUUUUAUUACGAUUACGCCGGUAAUUCAAGGAUAUAUUUACCUGAGCUGUAUUUAUUCUCCUUGACCUUCAUAUAAUAAUUUUUAAUUAAUUCAGGGUACAGUGGAUAUAAAAUAUUCGUGUUUUGAGUAAAAUUAUCAUGAGAUGAAAUUGAAGGUUGAGAUAUUGAAGGAAAGGUGAAAUUAAUCCGAAUAAUUGGUAGAGCAAUCGCUGAUAAGAAUCAAUAAGUUCAAUAUUUACGUCCGAACUUUCGUCCGGAAUGAAAUAUUGUACUUUUCGAUAGUGCAACGUUCUAGUGGUUGGCCAUUGGCGAAUUAAUUGUUCAAUCACUCGUAGUGAUAGGGCAUUGCAACGAAUAUUGGCCAGAGGAAACUUUUCACCGAUCGGAAAAUAUCAGUUCGACCAAUUCGUCAAGCGGUUUUUGGUAUUGCCAUAGUGGGAUACAUUUAUAGCUUCCUGAAAAUUAUUUUCACGAGUUUAUCACUAUCGACUGCGCUUUAUCAAUUAUCUCAGUUUACUCCUGCACAGACUGUCCGUUAUGAAAUUAGAACAACAAAUGAUUGAAUAGAUUUAUCAAUUAAGACGAAAAUGAAAUAAUUCACAAUUAAAUUUUCGAGCUCAUGAAGUGGUUCUCAGUAUUUUGUCAUUAUUUUAGCUAGUCCUCUAUUUCGAUAUUGAUCUUGGGAGUACAGCUGUACAAUUAAAAAAUUAGUCAUGCGUGCUCUUUCGUUUACGACGUAUUCAUUCAUAUUUUUAACGAAACGUUAAUUACAAUUAUGAACGAAUUGUUAAUUACAAUUUUUCUUAGGAACAUGGCAGAGAGAGUAAUUGAUUGUGACCGCAUGUUCAAAAUUCUCUCCAUUUGAUCUUGAAAUUCAAAUAUUACCUUUUUGUAAUGAUUCCUUUGGUGUAUGGAUUACAUUGCAUGUUUACGAGUAAAUUAAUCCUUCAUUCGUCCAAUAACCUUCAACACAAGAUAAAUUUGAUUCGUGAAUGAACGAAAUAUUUCCGGUAGUAUUUGUCAUCAUUAAACGGGAGAUAAAAAUUUGUGAUAAAUCCAUGAUAAGGUGUAGGUGUCGCUUGUAGAUUUAUAUAUAAAACACCGCGAUCGGUCACACAUGAAGAGUUGUGAGAUAAUAAGCAACAUUGCCAGGUGAAUAAUCCCCGAAAUCACAAUAUGAGACAAGUAUUUUUAUUUCUACUGAUCGCCUUCAGCCUCGCUGCAGUUGCGAUGGCAGCUCCUGAUAUUUGGGAAAUUCCCAUAACUCAACCGACUUGCAGUAAAAUUGGAGAAUUCUGCCACACUACUGAUCAAUGCUGCAAGCCAUAUCGUUGUCUCUCAUUUAGAGCGAGAUGUGUGACCUAAGAUUGACGAUUAAACACCUGCUGAUGAAUCAUUAAUUAAUAAAUAGUUAUUAUUACUGAGAAAGUUUACCUAAUCGUACGUUUUCACCCUGUAAUUUCCUCAUAAAUGUCAUGAAUAAAUAAAUACCAGAUAUCGAAUUAA